rnacentral:lncRNA from 1 species
GCUCAUCAGAUUUCAUGUUAGUUGUUUGACGCUGACUGAGUAUCACAGGCAUAACUGGGGCUGGAGAAGUCUUAGCUUGUCGUGUUGAUGUUACAGGAGACUCAUCAGAUGUCAGAUUAGUAGCUGAAGGCCUAUCAGGUCGUGUUGAUGUUACAGGAGACUCAUCAGAUGUCAAAUUAGUGGCUGAAGGCCUAUGAGGUUGUGUUGAUGUUACAGGAGGCUCAUCAGAUUUCAUUUUUGUUGUCUGAUUGAGUAUCAUAGGCAUGACUGGGGCUGG